rnacentral:rRNA from 1 species
GAUGAACGCUGGCGGCGUGCCUAAUACAUGCAAGUCGAGCGAACAGACGAGGAGCUUGCUCCUCUGACGUUAGCGGCGGACGGGUGAGAAACACGUGGAUGACCUACCUAUAAGACUGGGAUAACUUCGGGAAACCGGAGCUAAUACCGGAUAAUAUAUUGAACCGCAUGGUUCAAUAGUGAAAGACGGUUUUGCUGUCACUUAUAGAUGGAUCCGCGCCGCAUUAGCUAGUUGGUAAGGUAACGGCUUACCAAGGCAACGAUGCGUAGCCGACCUGAGAGGGUGAUCGGCCACACUGGAACUGAGACACGGUCCAGACUCCUACGGGAGGCAGCAGUAGGGAAUCUUCCGCAAUGGGCGAAAGCCUGACGGAGCAACGCCGCGUGAGUGAUGAAGGUCUUCGGAUCGUAAAACUCUGUUAUUAGGGAAGAACAAAUGUGUAAGUAACUAUGCACGUCUUGACGGUACCUAAUCAGAAAGCCACGGCUAACUACGUG